GACGAACGCUGGCGGCGUGCUUAACACAUGCAAGUCGAACGGAAAGGCCCUGCUUUUGUGGGGUGCUCGAGUGGCGAACGGGUGAGUAACACGUGAGUAACCUGCCCUUGACUUUGGGAUAACUUCAGGAAACUGGGGCUAAUACCGGAUAGGAGCUCCUGCUGCAUGGGGGGGGUUGGAAAGUUUCGGCGGUGGGGGAUGGACUCGCGGCUUAUCAGCUGGUUGGGGGGGUAGUGGCUUACCAAGGUUUUGACGGGUAGCCGGCCUGAGAGGGGGACCGGCCACAUUGGGACUGAGAGACGGCGCAGACUCCUACGGGAGGCAGCAGUGGGGAGUAUUGCACAAUGGGCGGAAGCCUGAUGCAGCAACGCCGCGUGCGGGAUGACGGCCUUCGGGUUGUAAACCGCUUUCGCCUGUGACGAAGCGUGAGUGACGGUAAUGGGUAAAGAAGCACCGGCUAACUACGUG
rnacentral:rRNA from 1 species